rnacentral:rRNA from 2 species
AGAGUUUGAUCCUGGCUCAGAUUGAACGCUGGCGGCAGGCUUAACACAUGCAAGUCGAGCGGGGAUGAGGUGCUUGCACCUUAUCUUAGCGGCGGACGGGUGAGUAAUGCUUAGGAAUCUGCCAUUUAGUGGGGGACAACAUUCCGAAAGGAAUGCUAAUACCGCAUACGUCCUACGGGAGAAAGCAGGGGAUCUUCGGACCUUGCGCUAAAUGAUGAGCCUAAGUCGGAUUAGCUAGUUGGUGGGGUAAAGGCCUACCAAGGCGACGAUCUGUAGCGGGUCUGAGAGGAUGAUCCGCCACACUGGGACUGAGACACGGCCCAGACUCCUACGGGAGGCAGCAGUGGGGAAUAUUGGACAAUGGGCGGAAGCCUGAUCCAGCCAUGCCGCGUGUGUGAAGAAGGCCUUUUGGUUGUAAAGCACUUUAAGCGAGGAGGAGGCUACUAGUACUAAUACUACUGGAUAGUGGACGUACUCGCAGAAUAGA